rnacentral:rRNA from 1 species
ACGGGACCCGCACAAGCGGUGGAUGAUGUGGAUUAAUUCGAUGCAACGCGAAAAACCUUACCUACCCUUGACAUGUCCGGAAUCCCGAAGAGAUUUGGGAGUGCUCGCAAGAGAACCGGAACACAGGUGCUGCAUGGCUGUCGUCAGCUCGUGUCGUGAGAUGUUGGGUUAAGUCCCGCAACGAGCGCAACCCUUGUCAUUAGUUGCCAUCAUUUGGUUGGGCACUCUAAUGAGACUGCCGGUGUCAAACCGGAGGAAGGUGGGGAUGACGUCAAGUCCUCAUGGCCUUUAUGACCAGGGCUACACACGUACUACAAUGGCAGGUACAAAGGGCAGCCACUUAGCGAUAAGGAGCGAAUCCCGUAAAACCUGUCUCAGUCCGGAUUGGAGUCUGCAACUCGACUCCAUGAAGUUGGAAUCGCUAGUAAUCGCAGAUCAGCACGCUGCGGUGAAUACGUUCCCGGGCCUU